rnacentral:rRNA from 1 species
UACGUAGGGUGCGAGCGUUGUCCGGAAUUAUUGGGCGUAAAGAGCUUGUAGGCGGUUUGUCGCGUCUGCUGUGAAAAUCCGGGGCUCAACCCCGGACUUGCAGUGGGUACGGGCAGACUAGAGUGUGGUAGGGGAGACUGGGAUUCCUGGUGUAGCGGUGGAAUGCGCAGAUAUCAGGAGGAACACCGAUGGCGAAGGCAGGUCUCUGGGCCAUUACUGACACUGAGAAGCGAAAGCAUGGGGAGCGAACAGG